rnacentral:rRNA from 1 species
GAUGAACGCUGGCGGCGUGCCUAAUACAUGCAAGUAGAACGCUGACUACUUUAGCUUGCUAGAGUAGGAGGAGUUGCGAACGGGUGAGUAACGCGUAGGUAACCUGCCUACUAGCGGGGGAUAACUAUUGGAAACGAUAGCUAAUACCGCAUAACAGUGUUUAACACAUGCUAGAUGCUUGAAAGAUGCAAUUGCAUCACUAGUAGAUGGACCUGCGUUGUAUUAGCUAGUUGGUGGGGUAACGGCCCACCAAGGCGACGAUACAUAGCCGACCUGAGAGGGUGGUCGGACGCACUGGGAGUGCGGCACGGCCCCGACUCCUACGGGAGGCAGCAGUAGGGAAUCUUCGGCAAUGGGGGCAACCCUGACCGAGCAACGACGCGUGAGUGAAGAAGGUUUUCGGAUCGUAAAACUCUGUUGUAAGAGAAGAACGUGUGUGAGAGUGGAAAGUUCACACAGUGACGGUAACUUACCAGAAAGGGACGGCUAACUACGUGCCAGCAGCCGCGGUAA